UACCAGCACCCGAGUGGUCGGACGAUUAUUGGCCUAAGGCAAUCCGUAGCCGGUUCUACAAGUCUUCCGUUAAAUCCAACUGACUUAACAGAUGGGCCGCGGAGGAUACUAUAAGACUAGGAGGCAGGAGAGGCAAGCGGUAGCUCAGUGGUAGGGUAAAUCCGUUGAUCCAUUGAAGACCACCAGUGGCGAAGGCGGCUUGCCAGAAUGCG
rnacentral:rRNA from 1 species